UGGACCAUUGAUGAGAGGAUGUCAUGAGCCAAGGAUACGAUUUAUCAAAUUCUGUAUACAAGAGGUACAAU
rnacentral:snoRNA from 1 species